rnacentral:lncRNA from 1 species
AUUGGUUACAUAUGUUAAAAUUUGUGUGAUUAAUAGCACUUCCUUCAACACUCGAUUUUUAUCAUGAAAUGAUUAACUGUAGCAAAUAAUCACUUUAUUAAUAAAAAAUUUUAGAUAAAUUCAGAUCCGAAAUGGACGUUCUUUCACAAAAAUGGCAACAAUACCGUAGCCACUUAUCACACAUUAAAAUUUCCACGCAACAUCAUCUUCAUCGAUUUUUAGUGCGAGUUAUCAUGAAGCAAAUAUGGACAUUCAGCAGUCCCUAAAACGACACGCAACAAGAAUAGCACCGGCUUCCAUAUGUAUCACAGAAAUAUCCCCCUCUCUGUUAUGAAAGUAACACCGGCCAGAAAUUGACAAACACGCAGAUAACGAUGGAAAGCUUGUAAGAAAAUAUACCACAAUUCCUGAACUCGAGAAGACAACAGAAUUUAAAUGUGCGGGCUGUUGUUGUCCAGGAGUCUGAGGAGUGGAUCUCCGGCGGAAAGGAUCCAACAAUUGCGCCGAAUUCACCCCCGACCGAAAGGAGGAAUAAAACAGAAAAACAAAAAAAAACGAACCUAAGUAGAUGCAAGUCCCAAAGGUGUGCACCUCGCGACACCGCCGGGAAAAACAAGCGGACAAUACAAACCUAUUUCAGACAUGUCCGCACGCUCGCCGGAUCGCCAGGGUUGAACCAGUCGGCGGGCCCAGCCCAGCGAUUCAACAGAUCCUCGAUAGCGUCAAAGAGCGAGAUAAAAGCAGCGCGAUCCACAAGCCGUGUGCGUUUUCCAUAUUUAGUGGUAGAAGAUCCAGCUAAUUCGAACUUAAACGCCGCCAACAAUGGCGAUUGACAGCAUACGGGCAAAACCAUAGGAGGGGGGGUAGGGCCA